rnacentral:tRNA from 1 species
GACUCUGGUGGCAUGAUUAAAGCGCCUGUCUAGUAAACAGGAGAUCGUGGGUUCGAAUCCCACCGGAGCCU